rnacentral:lncRNA from 12 species
UGGGGUUUUUUUUGACUGCUGUACUGAAAAGUCACUGGGAUAAAUGUAAACCAGCCCCAGUGUCUCCUCAGAGUUGGGGUUUUCAGGGGGUGCCAUACUCAGUCUCAGGUCUCUGAUUUUGGUGCAUCUCGAUUUCUUUUUGUCUGUUUUGCACACCCAGGUUGGUGAAUCCCUCUCCAGAGUCCAGCCUGCAGGUUACAGAUUUUUCAGGGCUGAAGAAGAAACUAGAGAAGUUUUUGUGCGGAUCCCCUGCCAGCCUGCCACAGGGCUUGUUCCUGUUUCAAGCAAGGAAAAGGACAAUAAGAAGGAGUGAAGUGUUGUAAGCACCGAAUGGUCCCCAUUCUGCCUUCAGAACUUCAUGAGCUGUAAUUUAUUGCAAGAGCAGGGUGCAGC